rnacentral:tRNA from 1 species
GGAAGCUUAGCUCAGCUGGGAGAGCAUCUGCCUUACAAGCAGGGGGGCAGAGGUUCGAGCCCUCUUGGUCCCA